AUUGAACGCUGGCGGCAGGCCUAACACAUGCAAGUCGAGCGGAUGAAGGGAGCUUGCUCCUGGAUUCAGCGGCGGACGGGUGAGUAAUGCCUAGGAAUCUGCCUGGUAGUGGGGGAUAACGUCCGGAAACGGGCGCUAAUACCGCAUACGUCCUGAGGGAGAAAGUGGGGGAUCUUCGGACCUCACGCGAUCAGAUGAGCCUAGGUCGGAUUAGCUAGUUGGUGGGGUAAAGGCCUACCAAGGCGACGAUCCGUAACUGGUCUGAGAGGAUGAUCAGUCACACUGGAACUUAGACACGGUCCAGACUCCUACGGGAGGCAGCAGUGGGGAAUAUUGGACAAAGGGCGAAAGCCUUAUCCAGCCAUGCCGCGUGUGUGAAGAAGGUCUUCGGAUUGUAAAGCACUUUAAGUUGGGAGGAAGGGCAGUAAGUUAAUACCUUGCUGUUUUGACGUUACCAACAGAAUAAGCACCGGCUAACUUCGUG
rnacentral:rRNA from 1 species